UUGAACGCUGGCGGCAUGCCUUACACAUGCAAGUCGAACGGCAGCACGGAGCAAUCCUGGUGGCGAGUGGCGAACGGGUGAGUAAUAUAUCGGAACGUGCCCGGUCGUGGGGGAUAACGUAGCGAAAGCUACGCUAAUACCGCAUACGAUCUACGGAUGAAAGCGGGGGAUCGCAAGACCUCGCGCGAUUGGAGCGGCCGAUAUCAGAUUAGGUAGUUGGUGAGGUAAAGGCUCACCAAGCCGACGAUCUGUAGCUGGUCUGAGAGGACGACCAGCCACACUGGGACUGAGACACGGCCCAGACUCCUACGGGAGGUAGCAGUGAGGAAUAUUGGACAAUGGGCGCAAGCCUGAUCCAGCCAUGCCGCGUGCAGGAUGACGGUCCUAUGGAUUGUAAACUGCUUUUAUACAGGAAGAAACACUCCGACGUGUCGGAGCUUGACGGUACUGUAAGAAUAAGGAUCGGCUAACUCCGUG
rnacentral:rRNA from 1 species